UACAGAGGUCUCAAGCGUUGUUCGGAAUUACUGGGCGUAAAGGGCGCGUAGGCGGCGACUCUAGUCAGAUGUGAAAGUCCUGGGCUUAACCUGGGGACUGCAUUUGAUACUGGGUUGCUUGAAUUCGGGAGAGGAUAGCGGAAUUCCCAGUGUAGAGGUGAAAUUCGUAGAUAUUGGGAAGAACACCGGUGGCGAAGGCGGCUAUCUGGACCGACAUUGACGCUGAGGCGCGAAAGCGUGGGGAGCAAACAGG
rnacentral:rRNA from 1 species